UUUAAUAAGAUAUUUCUGGCACAAGGAGGAGGCUGCUCUUGGUAAUUUAUUCAUACUUCCUUCAGGUGUGAUUAAUCUGUUACAGAAUCAAAUGUAGUUUGUGUUAGGUGUACAAUGACUCAGAACCCUGCAUAAAUUAGAGUCUAUUGUGCUGUGUGUUGUCACAGGAGGAAAAGCAGCAGUGAGCUUUUAGGCGCUUUUAAACAUUGUUUGUUCAGCAUGAAAGAACUGAUCUAAAAUGCAGUGGUUACAGUGUUUCUUGUAUAUUUUUGUCUUUCGGAAAAGAUAGCUGUAUCCAAUUACAACCUUGCCAUGAUGUUCAUCUUCACACAAGGCAUGAAAACAUGUAACCACAGCAGCAUCAGUGACAGAGCUCCAUCUGUCUCAGCUCCAUCUCUCUCAGCCCCUCUUCAGAGGAGAUCUGCUUGCUCCAGCCUCUGAUCAUAUCAUGGCCCUCUUCUAGACAUAUUUCAACAGGUACCCAGACCAAGAAGAUAGAGUGAAACCUCUUGGAACAAUACAAGCAGGUUACACCAGCUUUCUGUUGUACCGGGAUGUUUACAACUUUAACAGGAAUCAGAAUAAUAAAACAGUCAAUCCUUUCUGAAUGAAGCCUACUGACAGAUGAAGUUGGAAACCCUCAGUGCUUAGAUGAAUGUAUCACCAGUAUCCUAAAUACAAGCAGAUGGCAACUUCCAGGAGAAUGUGCACAUUCCCCGGGGGAGAGGAGAAACGUUACAGCACUCCACCACUGCACUGAAGCAGAUAAUUAGGCAAUUAGAUCUAUUAAAAGCUGACAAAAGGAAAAGUAUACAUGAACCUUCUCCUUAGGCUUCAAUAUGGUAGCACUUGUAAUAGCCUAGACAAAUUCACAGUGAACACGAUGUAUGAAUUUUAAGACUGAUUUAUUGCAAAUUACAUAUGUAUAAUCCAAUGCACACUAAAUAUAUACUAGGUGAAUUUUUCAUAUACCCAUAUAUGUUUAUACAUAUAAUACAGAUGUGAUUACAAAUAAUUUUCUUUUUUCACACUAUGGUGAAUUUGUUAAAAGUCUGAAGCAAAUGUAGUUUAUGCUCUAAUUUCCCCCAGUGGACUUGAUUCCACACAGAUCUGUUUCAGGAUGCCAAAAUGUGAAGACUGGGAAGUAUUCUGCUCCUCAUGGAAGGUAGUUGUCUUUUCCAGUGCAUCUGGGAGACACUAAUGUUUGCACUAUAAUGAGUGGAGAGAGAGCUUCUCCAUUUCUCAAACAAUAAUUUUGCUAGGAAAUGAACACAUCUUCAGCAUGGACUCUCUGUGUGUCUGCGCACAUCCUUCAGCAAUAGUCAGAUAAACCCAGCUUAAACACUCACAUCACAGAAAGAAAGAUUGUGGAAGCAAAGAUUUAGUAAGAAAUAUAAGUUUUGGGAUGUGGCAUAAAGCUACUUAAAAACCUGUGAAAAUAAGUAGAUUUUAGGAAAGGGGUUCCUUGUCAGUGUAAUGUCAGAAAAAUUCAACAAAUAAGAUCUGAUCUAUGACAGUUAUGUCAGCAAUUUCCUAUUCAUAUGAUUUUGAAAGAUAAAAAGAUUUUUUAUAUAUAAAAAGAUUGGUGGAACUGAAACUAAUUUAACUCUCAUAUUUGUUCGGUUAAAUGCUAACACUAUAAAAGGUGAAAAAAUAUCGUGUCAGUCAGACCUGCUUAUUUUUGGUGUAUGAGUACAAGUAAUAGAUUUCACAAUUUGUUUCUCAUGUGUUCCUUCUGGUACAAGGAAAAAGUCAGAUUUAAAGGCCCAUUCCGGUUUUCUCUUUUAUUAGCUGAAAAAUGAAGAUUCAACUAUACAUUUUUAUGUUUCUUUCCAUAUAUUCACAUAUACAUAGGCAAUUUAUUAAAAUAUAUUGUUAAUUAAAUAAUAAUAUACUCUCUAUAUAUUAACUGUAUUAUUUAUUAAUAAUAUGUUAUUAAUAUUAUAAUUUUUAUGCUAUGCCAUGGCUCAGGAAUCAGUCAUUCUGACAGGCAAUAUACAAACACAAGUGAAAACAAAUGUGGAUUAAUGCACACUUCAAAAAAUCCAUACUACAUAGUAUUAUAAGACAAACACAGUUAUAGGAGCAUAAAUAAUAAAUUAAUUACAGACAAUACAAUAGAGUAAAUUCACAUCAAAUAAAUUAGAAAGAUCCUGAUCAUAAGGAAAGUGAAGGAACCCAAAGUUAAAAACAUCAAGCAGAAUAUAUCUUGUGGUUUCUGAUGCAAUGUGGCACAGAAUGAAGAAAUGAAAACACAAGAAAAAAGACAAAGCCUUAGAAGAAUAAAACAAUAAAAAGACCAAGCAAUGCUAGAGGAAGAUAUAGCAAACAGUCUCUAUGAAACAAAGCCAUAAAUAGGUAAUAACAUCAACUUCUUGAGACAUUUCAAAACUAAGUUAAUUUAGAAAACCUAAGAGGCCUGUAUCUUUUAUGUUGCUUGAGUACUUGGUUUAUUCUACAUCAAUAUUCUCCCUCUUGAGUUGUUCCUUUGCAACAAUAGGGAAAAGUUCCUAAAGUUGUUUCUCAGCAAACAGGGAAAUCUUUUUUUCUAAAUUACCUCACAGUUUUACGUACUUUUUAAAAUAUGGCAUCCUUGAACUAUUCCUACCUCAUUCUGUACAUUAGUGGCAAUUUUGCAUUCUCCUCCAGUAAUUUCUGGAUAGUUUCCAAUUUCUAUGACUUCUUUGUGAGGCUGAGAAUAUAAAUGUUCUCUCAUCACUGCAUUGUAAUUCUAAUGCCCAACCUUUUGCAGUUUUCAGAGAGAUAGUUCACAUGCAUGAGCAUAAGACUGGGUUUUAUAUAUAUCUGGUUGUCAUUGAGGAAGGAAACUAGGAAGGUGUCAUUGUCCUCCUUGUCCCUCUCCCUUCUUCAAUGAAAACUGUUCAUUGCAUUGGCAAAUGCCGUUUUAAUGCAGGAAAUCUAAUGUCUCUGUAGUCCCUCAGAGUGCCUUUUGAGAGUUUGAUUUCUUUUCAAGCAAGGAGACUAAAUCGACUUUCAUCAGAUCAAGCUAGCAUCUUUGAAGUAUCCUUAUAUGACUUUUUAUUGGAAAAACAAAAGCGAUAAAAACUCUGAGACUUUACAACUAAUUGGGCUUUAUACAGAUUAUCUAAGAAAACAAUAAAAAGUAGUUCAGGCCACAAAACCCAAUGAUUUCUUCCGGUAUUUAAUUCGAUGUACCUAUGACUUAUUAUUUUGCUAUUUCUCCCUUCUGCUUAAGCAUUACAAUCUAUUACUAAACAAUUGAAAAGGCACAAAUGGAAUGAAAAGUCUGUGUAAAAAGCAACUAGCUUAUAUGUUGCUUUAGUAUAACUAACACUAUAACAUUGUGUUAUCGAUAACAUAGUUCUCUGAAGUUGUACCAAAAUAUAAAAGUUGUUAUUAUAUGGAUAUAAACGUUAUUAUUAUAUUAUAUAAAAGUUGUCUAUUAUAUGGAGGCCAAUGAAAUUUUGGAUGAAAGGAUGUUAUAUUUGAGAUUCUGUAAGAGACAUAAUGGAUUUUAAUGCCAAGAAAUCAAGAUAAAGAUAUUUUCAAGCAGGUUGAAAUAAUGUGGUACUCAUUGUAAAAUCUAAAGUUGAAAUUAUAAUUAUUUAUAAAAUGUCAUGCAGUUUUAAGUUAGAGAGUAACACGAGUAGCUUAAAG